CCAGCCAGGACUGAAAACUCACCAAAGCAAUCAGGAACUGCCUACUCAGCAUACUGUCAAACUGAUCAUGGUGGAAGACGUUGAAGCUCCAGACUUUCUGUUGCAUGUCCUCAGUGUGACCCUCCUUUCAUCUGUGAAGACAACAGACACACCAUUGGACAACCUGCUGGUUCUAGUGUUCACAAGUAAAUGUCAAUCAAGCUGCACGGCUCUGCACAGGACCCACUAAAGGACGUCAGUCCCUCAUGCCACCCUCACAGAGUCUGUUUUUGACAGUUUAGUACUGCUGGGUUUAUACACUCAUCCUUGCCCAUCUCUUCUUGUGUAACAGGCUUAGUAUCUCCUCAAUAGGCCUGAAAGAUUAUGAAUUUAACUGAGUUUCUCUUAUACUGCUGUGAUCGAGUGUUACCUUCAUUUUUCUAGCACUUUAUAAUCAUCUGUGGACCUGAAAGAGGAACCAAAACCUUAACAAACACCUGCAGGAAGAGUUGGAGAAAUAAUAGGAAAUUCAACGUCAAAUUCUUGAAAUGAAACUUAAUGUUAGUGUGAGUAAUAGCUGUACUACAGCCGAAAGAUCUGGAUUUGUGUCUCAAAAUCAAACAGAGUUCAUCUUUUCUUUCUAAGCAAGUGACUCAAAUACUGCUGUUCCACCUGCCAAGGACUGGACAGAGGUCAUCGUCCUUCCACCAACAUAUGAGGGGACUGUGAUAAGGGUUGUGGCUCAGCUGGAGGAGACACUCAGGAUGGAAAUGAGGAAGCUGUUUGAGGCUGAGCUGAGGAG